UACGUAGGGAGCAAGCGUUGUCCGGAAUCAUUGGGCGUAAAGCGCGCGUAGGCGGCCUCAUAAGUCCGUUGUGAAAGUCAAAGGCUCAACCUUUGAAAGCCGAUGGAUACUGUGAGGCUAGAGUCCGGAAGAGGCGAGUGGAAUUCCUGGUGUAGCGGUGGAAUGCGCAGAUAUCAGGAGGAACUCCAAUAGCGAAGGCAGCUCGCUGGGACGGUACUGACGCUAAGGCGCGAAAGCGUGGGGAGCGAACAGG
rnacentral:rRNA from 1 species